ensembl:lncRNA novel transcript
AGCUGCUUUGAGCCUGGCUGAGAUGGAGGCUAGACUUCAGGAAGGACUUCCUGACAGUGUUGGGCACUGGCUUCAGUGUGCCAACCCACAGCCCAGCGUGUCUCCUGAGCCCACUCCCCAGCACACGGCCGAAACUCAGAGCUCCUCACCUGUUCCAGCUUCACACUGCUUUGUGGAAAUGCAUCACGUAAGAAGUGCUUUUCGCCUCCCGCCAUGAUUCUGAGGUCUCCCCAGCCAUGUGGAACUGCUGUCAACACCAGACUCUAGGCCUCUGCCAGUGAUCUAUGGACCUCAGGGCCCCCGAGCUUCAGCCUGCUCAGGCUCUGCUUGUCAUGGCUGAAAUCCCCUGGACUGCAUUGGGACCAUACUGCUGAGAGUCUGGUUGCUGGGCUUCAGCUGACAGAACAUCAGAGCCCCAGGAUGGGAUAGCCACAAGUUGGGAAGCUGCCACCACUGGGAAUGGUACAUUCAGGAGGGCAUGGUUUUACAGAGAAGUUUGAGGCCCAGAGAUGUGCGAGCUGCACUCAAAGUCACACAGCAAGUUUGGUUCAUUAGCAGGGUAAGUUCU